UUUUUCUUUGGGAUUCUUAACUUGAUAAUGGUAAAGCUAUUAAUUCAACUUGAAUACAGUGUUUCACUGUGUAUUUUAUACUCAUAGAACAUAUGCUCUUUAGCAAUCAAUAUUAAAUUCCUGAUCAACUUAAUCUGAGAGGCCUAACUGUUUACAGAUAAAGUCCUAUGAAAAUGCUGAGAAGAUGGGUAAAUAAUUUUAUCAUCCAGAAUACAGGUAAACAUUUUGAUGUUAAAACAUGCCAUUAUUUGAAAAAAAAAAAAAAAGCCAAUAAUCCAAGUUUCCCAAUACCAGAACAGAUGCUCAUACCUCUUCUCUUCUGCUUACAAGCAUUUGUUUUUCCCUGCUGUGUUGACUGUAGUGGCCCAGACCUAAGUCUGACUUAGAUGGUGAAAAACUAUCAGUGAAAUGUUUCUGUAUUUGGGCUUAAUAGGCACCAUUUGACUUAAGCUCUGACCUUCACUUGAUGAAAACUAAUACUUUUUUCAUACACAAAAAAGCCAACCUUCCACUUGCAUAUUUAGGUAUCUUAAGGUUCAAGAGUUGUAAAGUAGUACACUGAGGAGUGACACAUCACAAAAAGAGUUAGUUACAAAAUUAAAGGUAAAGUAAAGACAAAUUUAUAUUUUCUUAAAUGGAAUUGCUGGUUGGCAAGUUAGGCACGACUGUCUGCUGUCUAAACAGAGGUUGGUUCAUACUCACAAAGAUUGCUCUAAACACAGAUGUCAGUCUUGGGAACAGACACAAAUACAAAAAUCCUUCGAAACAGCUGGCUAUAGACAUGCAGGUUGGACUGUAGUAAAGGGUGCCCUAGUGUAAGUAGAGGAUAUUUCUAGGUUACUGCAAGUAAACUAGUUUCUAGUUUACAUUGAACAAGACUACAGAAAAUACAAGACUACAGAAAAUUAACAGGAUGAUAGACUGUGAAUAACACAGGACUUUACAACAACUACAGCUUCAACUGUAGGAGUCACUGCCAUGUCUUCUAAAUGCUUAGUCUGGUUUACCUCCCUCAGAAGUCCAGCAGAGAGGAAUAUUCACAUUCAACAGCUGAGAUGAUUGCUGUUCUACAAGGCAAACGUUUGCCUUCCUACAUUUUAGCAGAAGAUAGUGGCUGGGUGGAGUAAAGGGUAGCACACCAUUUCAGAGGGCUUCUGUCAUGAAAAGUUUGUGAGUUUGAAUUUUUGUGCUAAACUUGUGCAAGUUAGUGGUAAGUGAACUAUACUGUAGUACUGAACUUGUGAACAAGAGUCCAACAAAGCUUUCAGAAAAAUUUUCCUGCCUAAUCUCUUAAAAAGAAGGCACUAUUAUCAGAAUUGUUUUGAUUUUUUUUUUAACCUUGAAGCUAAGUGUAAACUAGAAACUUAAUUUAGAAGGCCCAGGUGAAAUAUAUCAUUCUGUUUUCUGAGUAUAUUUAUGUUGCAGUAAAAAGGUGCCAGAAUAGGCACAAGGGUAGAUAGCAGCAUGGACUGGUUUUCAUCCUUCCCAUGUUCGGUGGCUUAGCUCCUCUUAAGUUUUUAAAACUAGGCUGGUAUUUCUGUUGUGCAUUGCUCAGGGGAGACAUCCAUCCUUGGCAGAGGACUGUUACUCAUGUACCAACAAUCCACAUAUACCAUUACUGUAGUAUGACUAUAGCCAACUUCAAAGUUACUACAUUUAUUGCUUGCUGAUUUCACUUUUAUAAUCAGAAGAAAGGAGAG